rnacentral:sRNA from 1 species
GUUCUCAGUGGCCGCCCUGCGGUACCCUCUCCCAGAACCUGAGCUGCUCUGACGCGGCUGUCUGGUGCGUUUCACUGAUCCUGGUGCUGCUGCUUCCUUACACUUCCCAAGAGGAGAAGCAGUUUGGAAAAACAAAAUCAGAAUAAGUUGGUCCUGAGUUCUAACUUUGGCUCUUCACCUUUCUAGUCCCGAAUUUAUAUUGUUCCUCCGUGCGUCAGUUUUACCUGUGAGAUAAGGCCAGUAGCCAGCCCCGUCCUGGCAGGGCUGUGGUGAGGAGGGUGGUGUCCGUGUGGACAACUCCCUUUGUGAGAAUGGUGCGUCCUAGGUGUUCACCAGGUCGUGGCCGCCUCUACCCCCUUUCUCUUACUCCAUCCUUCUUUCCUUAAAGAAUCCCCAGUGCUAUCUGGGACAUAUUCCUCUGCCCAGAGCAGGGUCCCGCUUCCCUAAGGCCCUGCUCUGGGCUUCUGGGUUUGAGUCCUUGGCAAGCCCAGGAGAGGCACUCAGGCUUCCCUGUCCCCCUUCUUCGUCCACCGUCUCAUGCCCCUGGCUCUCCUGCCCCUUCCCUACAGGGGUUCCUGGCUCUGCUCUUCAGACUGAGCCCCGUUUCCCUGCAUCCCCCAGAGGCCCCAGGCCACCUACUUGGCCUGGACCCCACGAGAGGCCACCCCAGCCCUGUCCACCAGGCUGCCUUUCGGUGGAUUCUUCUCCCACUGUGGGGUGACUGCUUGGCAAACUCACUCUUCGGGGUAUCCCAGGAGGCCUGGAGGAUUGGCAUGGGCUGGGGUUCAGAGAGGAGGGAUUCCCUUCUCAGGUUACGUGGCCAGCAAACAGGGGAGCUGGGUUUGGGUCAGGUCUGAGUGUGGAGUGACCAGCUUAUGCUGUUUGCCCAGGACAACCUAGUUUUAGCACUGAAACCCUCAGUCCUAGGAAAACAGGGACGGUUGGUCACCGUCUCUGGGUGACUCUUGAUUCCCGGCCAGUUUCUCCACCUGGGGCUGUGUUUCUCGUCCUGCAUCCUUCUCCGGGCAGGUCCCCAAGCAUCACCCCCCUGCUGUGGCUGUUCCCAAGUUCUUAGGGUACCCCAUGUGGGUUUAUCAACCACUUGAUGAGGCUGGUACCCUCCCCCCAUUCCUGCUCCCCAAUUGCCUUAGUGGCUAGGGGGUUGGAGGCUAGAGUAGGAGGGGCUGGAGCCAGGAUUCUUAGAGCUGAACAGAGAAGAGCUGGGGGCCUGGGCUCCUGGGUCUGAGGGAGGAGGGGCUGGGGGCCUGGGCUCCUGGGUCUGAGGGAGGAGGGACUGGGGGCCUGGACUCCUGGGUCUGAGGGAGGAGGGACUGGGGGCCUGGACUCCUGGGUCUGAGGGAGGAGGGGCUGGGGGCCUGGACUCCUGGGUUUGAGGGAGGAGGGGCUGGGGCCUGGGCUUCUGGGUCCGAGGGAGGAGGGGCUGAGGGCCUGGACUCCUGGGUCUGAGGAGGAGGGGCUGGGGGCCUGGACUUCUGGGUCUUAGGGAGGAGGGGCUGGGCCUGGACCCUUGGGUCUGAAUGGGGAGAGGCUGGGGGCCUGGACUCCUUCAUCUGAGGGCGGAAGGGCUAGGGCCUGGCCUCCUGGGUUGAGUGGGGGAGGGGCUUGGACUGGCCUCUUGGGUUGAACGGGGAGGGGUUGGGCCUGGACUCUGGAGUCCCUGGUGCCCAGGCCUCAGGCAUCUUUCACAGGGAUGCCUGUACUGGGCAGGUCCUUGAAAGGGAAAGGCCCAUCGCUCUCCUUGCCCCCCUCCGCCAUCGCCAUGACAACUGAGUGGAAAUAAACGAGCCGAGUUCAUCCCGUUCCCAGGGCACGUGCGGCCCCUUCUCAGCCCGAGUUUCCAUGACCUCAUGCUCUUGGCCCUCGUAGCUCCCUCCCCCCUCCUCCAGAUGGGCAGCUUUGGAGAGGUGAGGGACUUGGGGGGUAAUUUAUCCCGUGGAUCUAGGAGUUGAGCUUCACUCCUCCCUCAGCUCCAGUUCAGGUCCCAGGGCCCACCCAGUGUCCACAAGGCCUGGGACAAGUCCCUUCUCCGGCCCCCUGGACUUCGGCUUUUGUCCCCCCAAGUCUUGGACCCCUAAGGGGAGAAUGAGAAACAAUGGCCCGUGUCAGCCCCUGGCUGCAGGGCCCCGUGCAGAGGGGGCCUCAGUGAACUGGAGUGUGACAGCCUGGGGCCUGGGCACACAGGUGUGCAGCUGUCUCACCCCUCUGGGAGUCCCGCCCAGGCCCCUGAGUCUGUCCCAGCACAGGGUGGCCUUCCCCCACCCUGUAUAACUCUGGGCCCACGGCUUCGUUCUUGCAGAGUGUCUGCUGGGGUGGUUUCCAGGCUUGAUCCUUGGAAGGACUUAGCUGGGUUUAAGGCAGGAGGGGCUGGGGGCCAGGACUCCUGGCUCUGAAGGAGGAGGUGCUGGAGCCUCUUGCCUAGUCUGAGCACUGGAAGUGCCACCUGUGGGUGGUGACGGGGGUUUUGCUGUGUCUAACAAGUACCAUGUGGGGUUCCCACACCUGGAUGAGAAGCCCCAUCCCUUCCCCGUUCACUUCCUGUUUGCAGGUAGCCAGGAGUCCUUUUGUGGUUUCCACUGAGCGCUGAAGGCCUGGCUGACCUGACCACUGGGCAAUCAGGCGUAUCUUAAACAGUCAGUGGCCAGAGGCUGUUGGGUCGUUUUGCCCACUGUCCUAGCACCGUGUCCCUGGAUGUGUUUUCGUGGCUGCCUCUGGAGUCCUGCCUUGCUGGGACACCGUGGCUGGGGUAGGUGCAGCUGACGGCUGUUUCCCACCCCCAGGCCUGCAUUGAUGAGAACCUGGAGGUGGUGCGCUUCUUGGUGGAGCAGGGCGCCACCGUGAACCAGGCAGACAACGAGGGCUGGACGCCCCUGCACGUGGCCGCCUCCUGUGGCUACCUGGAUAUCGCCAGGUGAGGCAAGGGAGGGCCGGGCAGGACCUGGUCGGGGUGGGGGCCUGGACCCUCAGCCCUGACCAGCUCCCACCCCCAGGUACCUCCUGAGCCACGGGGCCAACAUCGCCGCCGUCAACAGUGACGGGGACCUGCCCCUGGACCUGGCCGAGUCGGACGCCAUGGAGGGGCUGCUGAAGGCGGAGAUCGCCCGCCGAGGUGGGCUCUGGUGGGCUGUGUGUGGGGUAGGGGACACCUCCUCACCCGUGGUCUCCAGGCUGAGAGCUUUAGAGGCGGCCUGGACACCGAGGCUGACCCUGCUUCCUAGGAUUGUCUUUCUUUGUGCCUCAGUUUCCUCACCUGUGAAAUGGGGGUGUAGGGUCCUGCCUCCAGGAUUGCUUGGAGCCCAGCAGAGGCACAGGAUGAGAACUCAAACCCCUACCAACUGGGAUUGUCAUUUCACUCCCUGAGUAACUGAGGGGAUUGGAAUGCCGGGGUGGGGUGGGUAGGUGGAGGGACUCACCCAGGAGUGCAUUAGGUAGGAUUGCUGGAACCUGCUGCAGGUCUCUGUGGGAGGGGGUGCGUUUACUCGGGGGGAGUACGGGCAUGCAGGGGUUGCCAGGGACUGGUCUCCCUGUCCUCUGAGACUCAUGGUACCCCAGGAGCCUUCAUAUGGGGUCCAGGAGCCCCUGAAACUGUGUCUGGCCAGGUUCAUUUUUCUGGGGAAGGGGUGUUGCUUCUAGCAGGUGUGUGAUGGCCACACAGGAUCCCUGGGUCCCCAGCGUGGCUUCUAAAGUCCUGGGCUCGCCUCCCAGCGCUGCCUGUGACUGGCGACUCCAGGCACGUCCCUGAAGCUCGCUUCCUUGAUUUCCUAAAACAGGACCACUGGUGCCGCUUCAUGGGGUGGUUGUCAGGGUCUGGCUGGGUUGGGGUGGAAGGGUGUGAGCAUGGUUCCCGGCAGGCUCCAGGGGACCGUGUGGAAGGAAAGGGAGACUGACGAGGAAAUGAGAUACCGGCAGCCUCCGAGACUUCUGACGCGGCUGUCCUGACGGGGCCGCUGGCCAGGCUGAAAAAGGAUAGGAUUCCGCGUGGGUUCAGGGGGCCACAAGAGCCACGCAGGAGGAGCAGCUAGUGGGACACGUGGCGGCGGCGAUCUGAGGUUUGGGAGCCCCUCUUUGGUUGAAAUGGGGAGUGGGUCAAAUCAGCCCUGGACCUGGAUUCUGUCUCCUCCCUCCUCCAACUUUUUAUUUUGAGAAAGCUUCAAAUUUACAGAAAAGUUGAAGCAAUAGCAUGUGACUACCCAUAUGACUUUC